rnacentral:rRNA from 1 species
GUCUUUUUGUUAAUAAUUUAAAGUCUAAUCUGCCCACUGAUAUAUUUAUUAAAGGGCUGCAGUAUUUUGACUGUACAAAGGUAGCAUAAUCAUUAGUCUUUUAAUUGGUGACUUGUAUGAAAGAUUGGAUGAAAUAUAAACUGUCUCUUUUAUAAAAAAAAAAUUGAAUUUAAUUUUUUAAUUAAAAAGUUAAAAUUAUUUAAAAAGACGAGAAGACCCUAUAGAGUUUUAUAAUUUAUUUUGUAAAUAUUUUUAUUUUUAUAUUUUUAUAAUUUUAAAUUAUUUUGUUGGGGUGAUAAAAAAAUUUAAUUAACUUUUUUUAAUAGUUUACAUUAAUAAGUGAUUAAAUGAUCCAAUUUUAUUGAUUAAAAGAAAAAAUUACCUUAGGGAUAACAGCGUAAUUUUUUUUUUAGUUCAAAUAAAAAGAAAAGUUUGCGACCUCGAUGUUGGAUUAAGAUAAAAUUUAAAUGUAGAAGUUUAAAAUUUUGAUCUGUUCGAUCAUUAAAAUCUU